UACAGAGGGUGCAAGCGUUGUUCGGAAUCAUUGGGCGUAAAGGGCGUGUAGGCGGUCUGUUAAGUCAUGUGUGAAAUCCCUCGGCUCAACCGGGGAACGACGCAUGAAACUGACAAGCUAGAGUACCAAAGAGGGGGGUGGAAUUCCCGGUGUAGCGGUGAAAUUCGUAGAUAUCGAGAGGAACACCGGUGGCGAAGGCGGCCAACUGGACGAAUACUGACGCUGAGACUCGAAAGCGUGGGGAGCAAACAGG
rnacentral:rRNA from 1 species